rnacentral:rRNA from 1 species
CCUUGUGGGUUGAGGUGGGGAGGCUGGGACCCGGACUGGUAGUAGGCAAGCGAUGGGGUGACGCAGGAAGGUAGUCCUACCGGUGAGUGGUAGUACCGGUGCAAGGGUGUGGCCCGCGGGGUAGGCAAAUCCGUCCCGCACGAGGGUGAGACCUGACGCAUAGCCGAAUGAGGCGAAUUGGAUGAUCCUAUGCUGCCGAGAAAAGCCUCUAGCGAGUUCCGAGCGGCCCGUACCCCAAACCAACUCAGGUGGUCAGGUAGAGAAUACCAAGGCGAUCGAGCGAACUGUGGUUAAGGAACUCGGCAAAAUGCCCCCGUAACUUCGGGAGAAGGGGGGCCAUCUACUGUCAACCGCCUUGCGCGGGGUAGCGGUGGGUGGCCGCAGAGACCAGUGAGAAGCGACUGUUUACUAAAAACACAGGUCCGUGCGAAGUCGUAAGACGAUGUAUACGGACUGACGCCUGCCCGGUGCUGGAACGUUAAGGGGACGGGUUAGCUCUUCGGGGCGAAGCUCAGAACUCAAGCGCCAGUAAACGGCGGUGGUAACUAUAACCAUCCUAAGGUAGCGAAAUUCCUUGUCGGGUAAGUUCCGACCUGCACGAAUGGCGUAACGACUUCUCAGCUGUCUCAACCACAGGCUCGGCGAAAUUGCACUACGAGUAAAGAUGCUCGUUACGCGCGGCAGGACGGAAAGACCCCGGGACCUUUACUAUAGCUUGAUAUUGGUGUUCGGUUCGGCUUGUGUAGGAUAGGUGGGAGACUGCGAAGCGGGCACGCCAGUGUUCGUGGAGUCGCCGUUGAAAUACCACUCUGGUCGAAUUGGAUGUCUAACUUCGGUCCGUGAUCCGGAUCAGGGACAGUGUCAGGUGGGUAGUUUAACUGGGGCGGUUGCCUCCCAAAAUGUAACGGAGGCGCCCAAAGGUUCCCUCAGCCUGGUUGGCAAUCAGGUGUCGAGUGCAAGUGCACAAGGGAGCUUGACUGUGAGACCGACGGGUCGAGCAGGAGCGAAAGCUGGGACUAGUGACCCGGCACCGGCAUGUGGAAGCGGUGUCGCUCAACGGAUAAAAGGUACCCCGGGGAUAACAGGCUGAUCUUCCCCAAGAGUCCAUAUCGACGGGAUGGUUUGGCACCUCGAUGUCGGCUCGUCGCAUCCUGGGGCUGGAGUAGGUCCCAAGGGUUGGGCUGUUCGCCCAUUAAAGCGGUACGCGAGCUGGGUUUAGAACGUCGUGAGACAGUUCGGUCCCUAUCCGCCGUGCGCGUAAGAGACUUGAGAAGAGCUGUCCCUAGUACGAGAGGACCGGGACGGACGAACCUCUGGUGUGCCAGUUGUACCGCCAGGUGCACUGCUGGUUAGCUACGUUCGGCAGGGAUAACCGCUGAAAGCAUCUAAGCGGGAAGCUCGCUUCAAGAUGAGGUCUCUCACCGGGUUAACCGGGUAAGGCCCCCGCCCAGACCAGCGGGUUGAUAGGCCGGAAGUGGAAGCACCGCAAGGUGUGGAGCUGACCGGUACUAAUAGGCCGAGGGCUUGACCACACACACCCACUCGGGCUGUCGUGCAGGUCAGGGUCAAUUAACGAAGAUUGCUUCGCGUCCACUGUGCGGUUCUGAACGCACGAACCAGGUC